rnacentral:lncRNA from 1 species
AAUUAGAUGGUGAAACCAAAAUUAAUUCUAAUUUAAGAGUGUUAAGAUCUUGAAAAUUAAGUUUUGAAGAUUAAUGAUGAUUUCUAUAAGUUUUGAGCAAUUAGCCAAUUGAAGUGGAAUAAUUUUUUUAUAGGCUAAUAGUUUACUUAUUUUUAAUAUACAUGCAAAUUUUGAAAACAUGAUAAUGGUUCCAAGGAGAGAUUUUGAUGCUUGAAGGUUUUAAUUGAAAUAGCAGAC